GACGUAGGGCGCGAGCGUUGUCCGGAUUUAUUGGGCGUAAAGAGCUCGUAGGCGGCUUGUUGCGUCGACCGUGAAAACCCGCGGCUUAACUGUGGGCUUGCGGUCGAUACGGGCGGGCUGGAGUUCGGUAGGGGAGACUGGAAUUCCUGGUGUAGCGGUGAAAUGCGCAGAUAUCAGGAGGAACACCGGUGGCGAAGGCGGGUCUCUGGGCCGAUACUGACGCUGAGGAGCGAAAGCCAGGGGAGCAAACGGG
rnacentral:rRNA from 1 species